GACGGAGGAUGCAAGCGUUAUCCGGAAUGAUUGGGCGUAAAGCGUCCGCAGGUGGCCGUUCAAGUCUGCUGUCAAAGACCGGGGCUUAACUUCGGAAAGGCAGUGGAAACUGAACAGCUAGAGUAUGGUAGGGGCAGAGGGAAUUCCUGGUGUAGCGGUGAAAUGCGUAGAGAUGUGGAGGAACACCGAGGGCGAAGGCAGCCCCCUGGGUCAAAACUGACGCUCAGGCACGAGAGCGUGGGGAGCAAACAGG
rnacentral:rRNA from 1 species